GUGAAUCAUCGAAUCUUUGAACGCACCUUGCACCCUUUGGUAUUCCGAAGGGUACACCCGUUUGAGUGUCAUUGUAAUCUCACUUCUACAACUUUUUUGUUGUCGAAUGUGGACUUGGACGUCUGCCGUGUUUCAACGGCUCGUCUUAAAUGUCUGAGUGUACCCCGCUUUGCGGCGUAUUCGGUGUGAUAAACAUUUCACCGGAGUUUGGUCUUCUGACCGCGCUUUUGCAAUUGGUGGGCUCUAUGCUUUCCAACCGUCCCUUGUGGACAAAUCUUUGACAAUUUGACCUCAAAUCGG
rnacentral:misc_RNA from 1 species